rnacentral:rRNA from 1 species
AGUGAACGCUGGCGGUAGGCCUAACACAUGCAAGUCGAACGGCAGCACAGUAAGAGCUUGCUCUUACGGGUGGCGAGUGGCGGACGGGUGAGGAAUACAUCGGAAUCUACUUUUUCGUGGGGGAUAACGUAGGGAAACUUACGCUAAUACCGCAUACGACCUACGGGUGAAAGCAGGGGAUCUUCGGACCUUGCGCGAUUGAAUGGGCCGAUGUCGGAUUAGCUAGUUGGCGGGGUAAAGGCCCACCAAGGCGACGAUCCGUAGCUGGUCUGAGAGGAUGAUCAGCCACACUGGAACUGAGACACGGUCCAGACUCCUACGGGAGGCAGCAGUGGGGAAUAUUGGACAAUGGGCGCAAGCCUGAUCCAGCCAUACCGCAUGGGUGAAGAAGGCCUUCGGGUUGUAAAGCCCUUUUGUUGGGAAAGAAAAGCAGCAGGUUAAUACCCCGCUGUUCUGACGGUACCCAAAGAAUAAGCACCGGCUAACUUCGUG